GACGAACGCUGGCGGCGUGCCUAAUACAUGCAAGUCGAACGAGAGCAACCGGUGCUUGCACUGGUCAAUCUAGUGGCGAACGGGUGAGUAACACGUGGGUAACCUGCCCAUCAGAGGGGGAUAACAUCCGGAAACGGAUGCUAAAACCGCGUAGGUCUUCGAACCGCAUGGUUUGAAGAGGAAAAGAGGCGCAAGCUUCUGCUGAUGGAUGGACCCGCGGUGCAUUAGCUAGUUGGUGAGGUAACGGCUCACCAAGGCCGUGAUGCAUAGCCGACCUGAGAGGGUGAUCGGCCACAUUGGGACUGAGACACGGCCCAAACUCCUACGGGAGGCAGCAGUAGGGAAUCUUCCGCAAUGGACGCAAGUCUGACGGAGCAACGCCGCGUGAGUGAAGAAGGUUUUCGGAUCGUAAAACUCUGUUGUUAGAGAAGAACAAGUGCUAGAGUAACUGUUAGCGCCUUGACGGUAUCUAACCAGAAAGCCACGGCUAACUACGUG
rnacentral:rRNA from 1 species